rnacentral:ncRNA from 1 species
AUAAAAUAAUUAUGUUUUUGGUAGUUUAUUAUAAAUUUGUUUUACAUAUAAAUUUUAGUAUAUAAUUUUAAUUAUUUUAAUAGUAAUUAAUUAAAUUUGGUAGUAAUUAAUAUUAAAAAUUUAAGAAAUUAAGAUUUAGUAAUAUUAAAAUUAGUAACUAAUUUUGUGCCAGCAGUUGCGGUUAAACAAAAAUUAAAUUAAAUUAUUUCAGUUUGUAAUAAAUAAUUAAUUAUUAAAAUAAAUAUUAAAUUAUUAAGUGAAAUUUUAAUUUAAUUUAAUUUUAUUAUUAAAUUAUGAUUUAAUAAAUUUUAAUAUAAACUAGGAUUAGAUACCCUAUUAUUAAAAAUUUAAUUUAUAAUACUAAAAUAGUAAAUAAUAAUUUAUUGAAACUUAAAUAAUAUGGCGGUAUUUUAGUUCAUUUAGAGGAAUCUGUCUAAUAAUUGAUAAUCCACGAAUAAAUUUACUUAAUUUAUAAUUUUGUAUAUCGUUGUUAAAAAAAUAUUUUUUAGUAAUAAUAAUAUUUUAAAUUUAAAAAUAAAAAUUAAUUCAGAUCAAGAUGCAGAAUAUAAUUAAGAAUAUGAUGGAUUACAUUAAAUAUAUUUAAAUGAAUGAUUUAUUGUAAUAUAAAUUUGAAGGUGGAUUUAAAUGUAAUUUUAAUUAAUUUAUUAAAAUGAUUAAAAAUUAAAAUAUGUACAUAUUGCCCGUCACUUUCAUUUAAAAAUUGGAAUAAGUCGUAACAAAGUAGAGGUACUGGAAAGUGUUUCUAGAAAGA